CGGCGCGCCGCGCACGGUCCUGGGAGCACGCGCUUCCUGGGCUUCCAUGUGGCCCGUGCUCGUCCGCGGGGUCCGCAGAUGAACAGUGCAGCUCACACAACUUGAAAACCAACGACAGCAGACCGAAAACUGCAGAACUGAAGGAAUGGGACAGCUUCCUCUGGUGGUCCAUAGGUUGAAAAGCAUUUGCAAGAAGCAUGUCAGGAGAUACGAUAAUGGCUGUCUUUGUGAAAAUCCACCUGCAACCUCUGAGAA